UACCAGCACCCCGAGUGGUCGUGACGAUUAUUGGGCGUAAAGCAUCCGUAGCCGGUUUUACAAGUCCUCCGUUAAAUCCAGCUGCUUAACAGAUGGGCUGCGGAGGAUACUAUAAGACUAGGAGGCAGGAGAGGCAAGCGGUACUCAGUGGGUAGGGGUAAAAUCCGUUGAUCCAUUGAAGACCACCAGUGGCGAAGGCGGCUUGCCAGAAUGCGCUCGACGGUGAGGGAUGAAAGCUGGGGGAGCAAACCGG
rnacentral:rRNA from 1 species